GAUUUGGCUGGUAACAAUUUACUUACCAACUGAUGUCCGGAGCAAAGAGAAUGGAAUGAAUUGAGUUGUCUCUGCGUAAGAAUCAAAACAAGAUGGCAGAGCAUGGCUUUAUCUGAGCUC